GUUGUCUUCUUCUUUGACUGAAAAGUCUUCUCAGGAUUCCUCCUCAAAAUGAAGUUGCCUGGUAGACUGUUGGUGCUGUUGUUCUGGAUUCCUGCUUCCAGUAGUGAUGUUGUGAUGAGCCAAACUCCAGUUUCCCUGCCUGUCAGCCUUGGAGAACAAGCGUCUAUCUCUUGCAGGUCUAGUCAGAGCAUUGUACACAGUAAUGGAAAUACCUAUUUGUCUUGGUACCUGAAGAAGCCAGGCCAGUCUCCACAGCCCCUAAUCUACAAGGUUUCCAACAGAUUUUCUGGGGUCCCAGACAGGUUCAGUGGCAGUGGGUCAGGGACAGAUUUCACACUCAAGAUCAGCAGAGUGGAGCCUGAGGAUUUGGGAGUUUAUUACUGCUUCCAAGGUACACAUUUACCUCCCACAGUGAUGCAGACCCUAACAAAAAUGACCUUGCUUGGAGUAUCACAGCUGUCAAAUAAGUUACUUAUCUGUAUGAAAGAGAAGUGUUUUGGAACUGCAGAUUUUGUGCUGCAGGUGACAGCAUGUGCAUCUUGGCUACAGCUCACUGGUCAUCCUUUUUGCCUUCAUUGACUACAAUAACAAUGA